GACUUAGACUGGAGCACAUAUUCUAAAAUCAGAACAAUACGGAGAAAAUUAACAUGGCCCCUGUGCAAGGAUGACAUGCAAAUUUGUGAUGUGUUCGGUAUUAGA